ACUUCAGGGCAUGGCUUAGGAGGCCUGGGGGUGUUGGGUUGGCGGUUGGACUUGAUGAUCUUAAAAGUCUUUUCCAAGCAAAACGAUUCUAUGAUUCUAAACGAUUCUGUGAUUCUAAAACAAGGUGGGCAAUUGGCGAAGGACAGCAAAUUCCGCAGGCAGAGCCCAUCACCGCCAUGCUCUAGUGAAAGCCAGGUCUGUGGCAGGGAUUAAGCAGAUCAUGCAGCGCAGAGAUAACACGGGGGAAUGGGACAAGCUGCAGUCUAAAACUGACCGAGUUCCAGGGAUCCUUUGGGGGGGCUGUCAUUUCCCACAUGCAUUUAAAUCUACCUGCAGGCUUCAUGAAGAAGGAAGGUGUGAAAAGUAGAUGAAAAAAAUUGUGUGGAGUAGUUUUUAUCUCCAACUUGGUUUUGAUAUUCAAAGACAUUUCAAAUAAUUUAUCCUAAAAUCUCUCUUAACUGAUUAGUAUCUGGUAUUAAACCUUAAUGCUGGAGGCUCAGCUUCCCUGUGUUCCUGAAAAGCAUUUAGAUAAUUGUGAAUGUGGUCAGAAAUAGCUGCAUCAAAAUUUACGUAUUUUUAGGUGAAAAGGCUUGUACCAGCAAAAUGUGAUAGCGGAGGGGAGACUUUUGGAAGGAAAAAACCUGCAGCGCCCACAAAGGAAUGAAGGUGGAAGGGAGAUCUUUGGAUGACAAUGUCCCUUUUCCCCAGGGCAUCACCUCCAAGGGUCCAUCACUUCGAUGCCUCAAGACAUCUCCUAUAAUAAAAUCAGGCGGAACCUGCUCACGGCAGCAGCGCGCACGCUGCAGCAUCCUUCCUGCCGCCGUGCAUCUGAGAGCGGCAGCGGUUCCAGGGAGCUGGUGGCUCCGAGGAAUUCACUGGUUUCCCUGCCGGGCCCCUGUGUCCAAAAUGCCUCCAGCUGCCUUGCGGAACUCAAGAGCAGAACUCGUCCUGGAAUCGCAGGGAGCGAAAUCUUUAAUGACCUGCAGAUAGCACCGAGAGAGCUGAAAAGUGGGGCUGCCAAAGCAGAGCUCUCGCAUGCACAGCGAAAUUUAAAAAUAGGCUGCUGCUGGCGUUCUGGCUUGCCCGUCAUUCCUGGAAGCCCACAGGGAGGACGCUCUCCAGCAGAGGAGAGACGCAGUCCCUUGACGUAACUUGCCUCGGCAUCUACGCCGCAGAGUGGAAAGUUGCGGAUCCAGUCAUUUUGCACCGGAGCAUCCCGGAUCGUUGUCUGUGUCUUUUCCAGCUCCGGGUCUGUGCUGGGUGCUGGCUCCUCUCUCCUCUCCCCAGAGCGGCGGGGGCAGGGGGCACACGCCCCCUCGCCUGUGGUGCUGCCACCCCAGCGGGACCGAGGAGUCCCUUUAGCUUAGCAUCGUCAUCACCUUCAGCGAAGCUCAGCGCGUGUGGGAGUGGAGACACGGGAGAGAUGAACGCCUCUGCAGAUGAAACUGCUCUUCAGAAGCUCCCACCGAGAGCGAGAGCUGCUGCUCGCACCAGCCUCGCGCAGAAACCGGCACUCAGACGAAGCAGCCCUGCAGACCUGCCCGGUCGCGGUCGCUGCGGCCAUCGAGUGGCCCUGGACCUCCAGCGGCUGCAGAGCCAGCCUGUCCCCGGUCACUGGUGACCGCAGCCGACAACUGGUGUCACUGCUCCCGUGACGGGAAAGGGGCAGAGGGCGGCUGUACAGAUGCAAAGGACGCGGAUGGGGAUGUGUGCUUGUACCAAGAGGAAGCAGGACCCAGGUUAUUCUGAGCUGAAUAAAUCACUUGAAGAAAAGGCAAAGCUUUGAGGGCAGCAGAGCACCCGCUGAGAAAGACAAGAAAAAACACAGUGAGGAAUCAAAAUUUAUUAUUAGCUGCUAGUAAAUUAUUUAAAUAAGCUGCAGUUAGCAGGGAUUGAUGACCUGAGGUUCUUCUCUGGGACACCAAAGCCCUGGAUGCCAGAGCUCGCAGAGGCGUUUCUGACAAACCGUCCUGGGGAGAUGCAGUCAUGGAGCAAGAGCGGGGCUGUUUCGAGAAGCUCCCGGCGAGAGCAACGGCUUCCUGAGGAGCCCACCUCGCCUCCCCACCAGCGCGGGGCUGGCGGAGCCGUCCCUCAGCUCCCACCUCCUGGCUGGUUCUCCGGAGGGCAGAGAAGGGAACCCAGCCCCAGCCAGAGGCCGCCUCCUUCCCGGGCUCUGCUCCCCGGCCGCCAGCCCCCACCGGGCCUGGGGUGCUGGGCACCACACCCCCGCGCUGGGUUUUGCGGCAGCUCGACAGUGCUAGCUUUCCUCGUGGGAAGGCAAAUCUGUCAGUAGCUGUGCUGGUGAUCUCGCCUCGGCGGGUUUUGGUGGCCAGGCUGCGGGUGGCUGCCGUAGCUCGUGAUGCUCUGGGGCUUUACUGACCCGACGCCUACAGGUCCUAUAGGACAGGGAACUGAGAUUUUACCGCUCCUUGGCUACGGGGCACCAGCAGCAGAAAACCAAUUGGGCAUCUUCCCUCUGUGCAAUAACCUUAAAGUACCACCCGCGGUUCCGUCCUGCCGCCAGGUGGGUGAGGGUGGACCCCUGCCCAGGGGAUUUCUAGAACCGGAGCCGGAGGCCAGACAUGCGACACAACACAAAGCGUAAACAUGGUCUGAAGAGAAAAAGAGAAUAAGGAAACAAAUAAUCUCAUAAUCUUGGUAGUUCCAUUUAACACUUUAAAAACUUAAGCCCUUUACUUAGAGAUUCUAUGGCGCAGUUUUUAGAACAAAGUUUUUAGACAGCCAGAGAGCUGGCGAGACCUUGUAGAGCAGGCAGCGCGUAGGGGUCACCCAGGAAGAGGCGACGAGCGUUGAGCAGGAGCUGUUGGCAAAGGGGACGUAUGGAGAGGGAGAGCGAUGCAGAGCAAGUCAAGCCCCGGUACACAACGUUUGCAAGAGUCUCUGGGACCUGGAAGGUGGGAAGAAAUCACUUAAGCUUGAUGCGCACAUCAGGGGGAGUAGAAGGAAGGAUUUUAGCAAUGAUGAUUCAGCUAAAGGCGCAGGUAAAGGACGCAGCUGGAGGUAAGGCAAAGCAAGUCUCCAGGAGUGGAGAAGAGGCUGCUGCAAAAAUGGAAGUGAAGAUCCCAGGGAUGUAAGAGUGCUGGACGCAAGCAUGCAAAAGAAGCAGCAGAUUUAAAAAAUACAUACACCGUGUGGGAAGCAGAAACAGGAUUUAUAACUUCCAGGAUGUAGAAAAUAAGCCACGGCUGAACGAAAUAAUUUGAGUGGUUAUGACUAUUCAGCUUUAAUGCAUUUUAUCCAGCGGUUAAUCACCCUCACCGAUAAAAUUUUGUGUCUAAUUUUCAACGUGGAUUUGUCUGGUUUCAGCUUCCAGAGAUUGAGUCUUUUUAUAUCUUUCCUGGCUCGAUUAAAGAGCCAUUUAAUA